rnacentral:rRNA from 1 species
UACGUAGGGUGCAAGCGUUAUCCGGAAUUAUUGGGCGUAAAGAGCUCGUAGGCGGUUUGUCGCGUCUGCUGUGAAAACCGGAGGCUCAACCUCCGGCCUGCAGUGGGUACGGGCAAACUAGAGUGCGGUAGGGGAGAUUGGAAUUCCUGGUGUAGCGGUGGAAUGCGCAGAUAUCAGGAGGAACACCGAUGGCGAAGGCAGAUCUCUGGCCGUAACUGACGCUGAGGAGCGAAAGCGUGGGGAGCGAACAGG